UCGAAGCGCUCCUCCACCCGCUCGAAGGCCCACUUCUCCGCCACUCUCUUGGCGGCGCAGUCCAGCAGGGACUCGGGCUGCAGAUGUGAUGAGGAAAAAAUGAACGGGACGGCACAUGGGAGAAAGCGAAGGACCAUUCGAAUUCAAACAUAAAAUAAGCGCUGUACUCUCUGUUGAGGUGAUCACAUGGUGUGAACGACACACAGGGGCUGGAACCAUCCUUCUCCUAUUUAAGUGCCGGGAAAUCGAAGGAAUGUUGCUCUCCACAAUAAAAGUUAGGAUUGAAUCCCUGAA